GAUUCCCCCAGUAACGGCGAGUGAAGUGGGAUUUAGCCCAGCACCGAAUCCUAUCGGCCGUAGUGCCGUGUGGACCUGUGGUGUUCGGGGCCCCGGUCUUCGUUCAGUCUGCUUGCGCCUCAGUUUCAUUGAAAGGGCUGUUGCUCCCGAGCGGGUGUCAGACCCUUGUGCAGCGCACGGGCGGACGAAGUUCUCAGGGGCCCCACGAGUCGGGUUGUUUGAGAGUGCAGCCCAAAGACGGUGGUAAGCUCCAUCGAAGGCUAAACACUGCCACGAGUCCGAUAGCGAACAAGUACCGUGAGGGAACGUUGAAAAGGACUUCGAAGAGAGAGUUCAAGAGUACGUGAAACCGCCUAAAGGGAAACGAGUGGCUCCGCAUUGUCGGCCUGCGGUGUUCAUUUCGCUUGCCAGAGCGACCGGUCGUUCGGUGGACCUUGCUUCUCGCUUGGUCUCGUUUCGAUGCAGGUCACUCGCUCGGCGAGCGUGUGCAUUUGCCGCGAGGCAGGGCGUCACGAUCGCUUCCAUCUGUCGCGCGACCGUCGGCGGUGUUGGCGUUGGCGAGAGUCUCCUCGUGGGACUCACGACCGGCGCGGCCUGCCUUCCCGCGUGUCUGGGAGCGUGUAACGAUCGGCUCGACUUCGUCGGCUGCUGCUUUGGCGUUGGGACCGGCCUUCGGUCAGCACUCUGUGCUGCCGCUCGGUGGACCCGACUCGGAGCGACGCGGCUGGCGUGCAGGGCCUUGUAUCGGUGGCGAUUG
rnacentral:rRNA from 1 species